AGUGAACGCUGGCGGUAGGCCUAACACAUGCAAGUCGAACGGCAGCACAGUAAGAGCUUGCUCUUACGGGUGGCGAGUGGCGGACGGGUGAGGAAUACAUCGGAAUCUACUUUUUCGUGGGGGAUAACGUAGGGAAACUUACGCUAAUACCGCAUACGACCUACGGGUGAAAGCAGGGGAUCUUCGGACCUUGCGCGAUUGAAUGAGCCGAUGUCGGAUUAGCUAGUUGGCGGGGUAAAGGCCCACCAAGGCGACGAUCCGUAGCUGGUCUGAGAGGAUGAUCAGCCACACUGGAACUGAGACACGGUCCAGACUCCUACGGGAGGCAGCAGUGGGGAAUAUUGGACAAUGGGCGAAAGCCUGAUCCAGCCAUACCGCGUGGGUGAAGAAGGCCUUCGGGUUGUAAAGCCCUUUUGUUGGGAAAGAGAAGCAGCAGGUUAAUACCCCGCUGUUCUGACGGUACCCAAAGAAUAAGCACCGGCUAACUUCGUG
rnacentral:rRNA from 1 species